CCAUAGCGCUCGGGAGGAGUGAGGAGGUGGUCCAGCUGCUGACUGAAGGUCCUCCCUUGGACUCGGAUACUGGAAGGCAGGAUAUCUGCCACCCACUGCAGCGAGCUGUAAUAUUUUCAGCUGGAAGGAUGGAUUCAAGCGGAACGCUCAGUACUGGGUGAGCAUGGUAUAACUCCAGUACUUGGGAGCUGGGGCAAGAGGAUUGGAAGAAUUUGCAUAAUUUGAAGCAGUCUGAACUAUAUAGCAAGUCCAAGUUGCCUGGACAACUAAACAAGACCUUGUCUCAAAACAAAGAACUUAAAAAGGGCUGGCUUGGUAGCUCACACCUGCAGUCCAGCACUCAUUGGAGGUGACUGCUAGGGAAAACUACAUCCGCUGUCCGCGGGUGGUCUGACUUCCUCCGAGAAUCCUCACACCUGCCGUUCUCCUGCUUGCUUCCCUGCCCUCAACUGUGAAGACAAUUACCACCUCUAAGCUUUUGGCUUCUGCCUGGGCCACUCUCCUGUCACCC